UCCCUGGUGGCUCAGAUGGUAAAGCGUCUGCCUACAAUGCAGGAGACUUGGGUUCGAUCCCUGGGUAGGGAA
rnacentral:tRNA from 1 species